rnacentral:rRNA from 1 species
CAGCAGCCACGGGAAUACGAAGGGGGCUAGCGUUGUUCGGAAUUACUGGGCGUAAAGGGCGCGUAGGCGGCCAUUCAAGUUAGAUGUGAAAGCCCUGGGCUCAACCUAGGAAUUGCAUUUGGUACUGUUUGGCUUGAGUUCGGGAGAGGUGAGUGGAAUUCCCAGUGUAGAGGUGAAAUUCGUAGAUAUUGGGAAGAACACCAGUGGCGAAGGCGGCUCACUGGACCGACACUGACGCUGAGGCGCGAAAGCGUGGGGAGCAAACAGGAUUAGAUACCCCUGUAGUCCCUGUCUCUUAUAC